GAUGCAAAAAAGUAGUUACACCAUUAAUGGACGGUUUAUUGUCUACCCAUCGUGAAAUCGAACCAACGAACUUAGACAGUUAUCAGGUAUGCAAUAAACGUCCUCGCGUUAGUAUUAGUAAAUAGCGUUCAGUUUGGGAGGAAUUCUAAACAAAAUUUUAGUUUACUUUGUCUCCGAGUUCAAUUUUGUGAAAAAACAUGCAGAAAAAUGGGUUUAUAUCAAUAAAAUUCACAAAUUUGUCAGUGUUUCUGAACACAACACUGCACGCUAUUUUAUAUGUGUGAGUAAUCUUCGUGUACGAUGCAAGAAAAUUUAGCUCACCUGUAGUAUAUGUCAAAUUACGUUGAACUCAAACAUCGAUACAUACAUACGUGAUACAUGAGAGAGAGAAACGAAUUCAUUUUGGGGGGAGUCACUUCAAUAUGCAUUGAGUCCAUUUGACAGUGGAGAAUGAAAUGUCAUGUUGUCAUGUUGACGGAGAAACUGCUGGAAGCAGCCAAAACUCAUUUUCAAUUGAAUACGAAGGCGAAUUUCUUCAUAGUCUACUGACUAUCUGGCCGGUAUUCAGUCAGACCGGACUAAGUAACAAAAUAAGAAAAAUAAGUUAAUACAAACAAUCAAGAAAUUUUUAAUCUACAUUCUACUUCGAUCAGAUCACACUUAUGUUACUAGCAGGAUGGUUUAUGGGAUAAAUUCAUUUUGACUGAUCAGCGAAAACUGAUAAUAGUAUGCAGUCAGUGUGGACCAAGUGCCUACGACCAUAGCGACUAGAGAGAAACUACGUUUUUCUUCCAACCAGAAAAUGGAAGGAAUUUCAAAUGAAAUAUUGGAUUUCUCCGCAUCAGAAGGUUCUUCCCUUCGUCCUUCAAUAAACACGGUAAAGUUACUCAUAUUGAAACAAAAUGUAUAUGCUUUUAAGACAAUUCAUAAUGAUUUAAAAGUUGAUCGAAUAUAUUAUUAUAUCUUGUUCAGACAGUGUGCACCAAGUGUCAGAGAGAAAAAAAUCGUAAUUACUAAACUUUUCAUAAUCGAUUCCAAAUCUAACCGUGGUAUAUUAUUGACUGCAAGUACUCUUCUUCACAAUCACGUUAACCCGUUUGUCGUUGAAACAUAUUUUGAAUAAAAAUCUAGUACAUACUAUAUAGUCGAUUAUUUUUGGUAGGGGAAAUAAUGUUUCAAGCCCUAAAACCGGUUUGUUUUAUUGUAGAGGUUUAGUGGAGGAUGUUACUGUUUAAAAUCCAUUUCGACUGCGUACUGAAUACAUUAUAUGAUUUCAUCAUUUAAUUUAAAGAAGGCCUGGGAAAUAUAUAUUUGAACAAAGUUCUUCUCAUGUCUUUGGAUAUUACCAACGUGAAUUGGUCAUAAAACGCGAGGUGCAGCAGGAUUUUCAAAAUGGAGGACUCCUGAAUUUGGGUACUUUCAGAUUGCAUAUUUUACAAGGUUGAUCAAUAGAUUAAUGGAUUCCCAAAGUUUAACUACAGACAAACCUGGGAUGCGAACCGAUUUGAGAAACCUUUUUACUAUUGACCCUAUUGAACUUUUUGAUAUUUGACGGAUUUUGGACAUAUCAGAGGAGCUCCAGCAGACUUAGCAGUGAAAUGUUGAUAGCAACAAAAGUAACAAGUUUGCUGACUAUGAUCAAUCGAUGUAAAUUAUUCGUUCGCUUCGAUUAUUGCCCACAAUCCAAUCGACGAAAAAAACAUCGACCUAACAACGACCGUAGCGCUGUUACUUAUUCACGAUGACGACGAUUAGGUAUCGACAUCUGGAUACGGCAUUAGUUUGUAUGAGGCAAACUAUUCUCUAUCAUAUUAGUCGGCCCGAAUCAGUUUAUAAUUGCUAAAAUUUGUAUGAAAUUUUUUUCUUGGCAUAAUUUUUCCUACUUAAAGUACGUUGUCAUGACCCUAAUUUGAAUUAUUUUCUAUAGACGUUCAGAUAUUCUCAAAAAAACUUGUCAUUAUAAUAUAAAAUUAUCUCAAAACAUAUUUUUUUAUGACGUUUUUUCACCACUUGUAGGCAAUGGUGAUUUUCACUUACAUAGAGUACUAAUUUGAUUAAGGAAAAAUCAUGUUCAUUCAUAAUUUUCAUUUUAAAAGUGUAUUCAUUCCUUCUGCAAAUCCAUACUGUCAUGCCUCUUCCCCAAUAUCGUCAACGCGAAUAGUUCGUUAGUCGAAAAUACUGAAUAAUUAAACAAACUAAAUGGCGUCACUGGUGGUUCUUUUUUCCACUCCGCUAAACUGUCAUCUCAAACAAAAACAAAUGGAUCAUACAACUGCUAUGAAUACAUUCGACUCGUUUGCUUCCAUCAAUCGGUAAGUGAGAAAGAUGAUUUCUCCCAUCACCACAGUGCGGAUUUCCACUUCUAUCACAGCAGCCAACAACAUCCGUUUUCCUGCUGCAGUAACCUCCAACCCCUGUUGGCAAUGCCGGGGAACAGCAUUAACAGCAGCAGCAGCAGCAGAAUUUGACCAUGGUAUGGUAUUGCGAAGAACUUUCCCCAUUAGAGGUUCCGUGCUUCGCGCACAUUCAAAAAUCCUCUUCAGACACGAAAACUCAAUGACAAGGAGGUAUUUAUCAACUUGCUCAGCUGAAUUACCACCCGGAGGAACCCGAAUGCACUGAUUCCGUUGUAUAGUAGAAUGAAAAUAGGCGAGGUAAGCGAACGUAAUCGCAUGAUAUUUUAAUGUUCGCAUUUUUAUCCGGAUCAUACAACUGCUAUGAAUACAUCCGACUCAAUCAAUCGGCGAAUGAGAAAGAUGAUUUCCCUCAUCACCACAUUGCUUAUUUCCACUUCUGUCACACCAGCCAACAGCAUCAGCUUUCCCGCAGCAGUAUCCUUUAAGUCCAGGGUGCUAUUCCGGGGAACAGCAUCAACAGCAACAGCAGCAGGACCUGGCCAUAGUAUUUCGGGCAAUUUUCCCCAUCGGAGAUCCCGUGCUUCACGCACAUUGAAGAAUCCUCCUCAGCCACAUAUCUGUGUCAUCGAGGGCAAAGAGGUAUUCAUCAAUGUACUCAGUCGGAUUUGAAUCGUCAAUCUAGACAACCCGGAUGCACCGAUUCCGUUAUAUACCUUAUUUUUAUUAUACAUGGAUUUUUAUUAU